CCUACGGGAGGCAGCAGUGAGGAAUAUUGGUCAAUGGGCGUAAGCCUGAACCAGCCAAGUCGCGUGAGGGAUGAAGGUUCUAUGGAUCGUAAACCUCUUUUAUAAGGGAAUAAAGUUCGGGACGUGUCCCGUUUUGUAUGUACCUUAUGAAUAAGGAUCGGCUACCUCCGUGCCAGAAGCCGCGGUAAUACGGAGGCUCCGAGCGUUAUCCGGAUUUAUUGGGUUUAACGGGUGCGUAAGCGGCCUUUUAAGUCAGCUGUGAAAGUCUGUGGCUCAACCAUAGAAUUGCAGUUGAAACUGGGAGGCUUGAGUAUGGUGGAGGGAGGCGGAAGGCGUGGUGUAGCGGUGAAAUGCGUAGAUAUCACGCAGAACCCCGAUUGCGAAGGCAGCCGGCUAAGCCAUGACUGACGCUGAUGUACGAAAGCGUGGGGAUCAAACAGGAUUAGAUACCCGGGUAGUC
rnacentral:rRNA from 1 species